AGCCUUUUAAAAUUAUAAACUUGGAUCAGCUAACCCAAUGUGCCAUUGGAACACAGGAGUGAUGGUUGCUGAUAAUGGGCCUAUGUACGCCUAUGUAGAUAUUACAUUAAAAAAUCUGCCGUUUCCAGCUACAAUAGCCAUUUACAACAUUAACAAUGUCUACACUGUGUUUCUGAUCAGUUUGAUGUUAUUUUAAGGACAAAAAAAAUUGCUUUUCUUUAAAAAACAAGGACAUUUCUAAGUGACCCCAAACUUUUGAACGGUAGUGUAUAUACAUUUUAAAUCUAAAUAAUUAAAUAAAACAUGUUGUCUUCCUUCCCUGCAGCUUAAGCACCUCAGUGUAGUUUCUGACCCCAACGCUGAGAAAGCUGCUUUUCUCCUGGAUGUAGCCAUCGCAUCACGUCACCGUGCCAACGGCCCGACAAGCAGAACUCGCAGUGACAUCCCCUCACCAUCGUCCUCCUGCAGCGGCUUAUGUUCUUUACUCUGCACGUCCAACAGCAGCUCUCAGAGGGCGGUGCCAAAGUACCAGGGGGUCAUAGCAGAUUGAUCAUGAUAGACCUGGCUGACAGUAUAAAGGGGACCAGUAGAACCACUGACAGCAGAACUGAACGGCCUGAGUCAGAGCUGGGCAGUGAUAUCCUGGCCUUAAUCAACAAUGGAAACAAAAACAUCCCUAACAGGGACAAUAAAGUGGGUAAUAUUAACUGUCGUACAACCGUGCUGGCCCAUGUGACUGACUUACCAGAACACUGCUCAGAGACACUGUCAACUGUCCAGAUCACCUCACGCAUUCGUAGGACACAGAAGAAGGAAAAAGUAUCUCAAUUACUGAAUUAGAGAUUUCUUACCAUGGUGCCAAUAAUGGUGACAAAAGCAUUAUUCAAUUAACCUUGGGUGGC
rnacentral:lncRNA from 1 species